rnacentral:lncRNA from 10 species
UUUGUCACUUUAGAAUAUGCUGCUGAGGCUUGGGGACCCAGGGAGACAGCCUGUCUCACCAUGUCCCCUAGUCUUUGCAACCUGAUCCUGAAUCCUGCCUGGCGGUGGCGACAACAUCAGACAGAGCUGGAGCUGGUGUGACCCCAUCCCAGGAGGAUGCUCCUAUUUCGGGGAUCCCAGCUGUCUCUGGUCAGGGUGCCUCAGCAGAGUCUAGGAAAAGCCAAAGCCCAUCUCUGGUGACAGCUCUGAGACGCCUCGGAGUUCUGUGCCAGGAACCGAGCUGAGGAACUCAGCUGAGGAAACCACGGGAAUCUCAUUUGAAGAGGAAUUUGGCCCCUGGAGCCCCCUCCCCACUCACUGGUGGGAGGGUGCCAAGACUUCAGUCGCCGCCGCCACACCAGCAAACCCCAAACCACAGGAAUGCAAUGGGGUCACCUGGGGACAGAGGGAGAUGGAUGGACAGCGAGUAGGCAGUGAGCCCUUGGGCCUGCAUCGCAUGGGGUCUGCUAUUUUGUGACAAAAGCACUGGACUUGGUCCCCAGGCCUCGGUGUGGAUUCAGGCCUCGGUGUGGAUUCAGGCUUGCCACUCGGGUCAUGGGGUCUUGGGUGGUCACGUCUGUGGCUAACCACGCUCACCUGGCCACUCUGGCCUUUGGACCAACUCGGGCAAGGAGCUGAGCUUGACGGGGAGGGAAGCCACGGAUUGGGGUGGACGGAGGCGGUGAGUGAGAGUAGAGUGUUCUGGUCUCCAGGCUCUGCAGGCUGAGCAGGGGAGGCACCCAGCACUUGUUACCCAGGGAAAGGAAACUAUGUCGAUAAUGAUUUGUCAGCUAUGGGUCAAGGACUGCUCCAGGCACUUUUUUUUUUUUGAGACGGAGUCUCGCUCUGUCACCCUGGC